UUUUUCAUCUGUGAUA
rnacentral:sRNA from 1 species